CGGCCUACGGGGGGCAGCAGUGGGGAAUAUUGGGCAAUGGGCGCAAGCCUGACCCAGCAACGCCGCGUGAAGGAAGAAGGCUUUCGGGUUGUAAACUUCUUUUGACAGGGAAGAGUAGAAGACGGUACCUGUCGAAUAAGCCACGGCUAACUACGUGCCAGCAGCCGCGGUAAUACGUAGGUGGCAAGCGUUGUCCGGAUUUACUGGGUGUAAAGGGAGCGUAGGCGGCGAUGCAAGUCAGAAGUGAAAGCCCGGGGCUCAACUCCGGGACUGCUUUUGAAACUGCGUUGCUAGAUUGCAGGAGG
rnacentral:rRNA from 1 species